rnacentral:lncRNA from 10 species
CACAGAGUUUGGUCUGGUUUUGUAUGCUUUGUACAAAUUGAAGUAAUUACCACUUGUGAUUUCCUUUAUGCGUAGGCAAAUGAAGACUCUGAGAUGAAGACAGCUGAGCGCAUGAUGGGGUAGGUCAGCCUCCCUCAUGGAAAUUCUGUGUGCCUGAGGCCCACCCUUCCAGUGCAGAUGGAGGGAUGGGAUGGAAAUGAAUCUAGGGGAACGCAUCCCAGCUGUGAUCCAGCCACCUCUGCGUUUGAAGGCUGGGGGUUAUUCCCUCCUCAUGGUUGCCACGCAUUCUUAUGUUUGCAUGUCAUGCUUGGAACUGCCGCAGCCACUUUGUGACAGCCUGAGAAUGAAUCCAGCGCUAAAAUCAGUCUAGCAAAAGGAGGAGAAACACCUGGGUCUCCAUGAUGUCACUGAGCAAGUGAAUUGACCAGCUGUGAGGUGAUCCAGAACUGAGAUCCAGAGCCACAAAGGGCUUGUGCCAGACCUAAGUGAGAUGCAGAGUCGGCCUUAAACCCAAUUCUCAUGAUCAGUGGUGAUUGUGGUGAUGAUGAUGAUGAUGGUGAUUCUGGGGAUGAUGAUGAUAAUGGAUUUUUCUUCACAGUGUCUAGCAGUAUUCCUGGCACAUAAUAUGCAUGGACCUAUGCUGGAACUAAAUGAUUUAAUAUCCAUAAAGGGUCCUAUGAGGCAAGCUCCAGAGACACAGAGGAAGGCCAUACAGCAAUAGCAUGAAACACAGCUUUGAGGUCCUGGGGCCAGGGAAGGGCACAAGGUGUGGCUGAGGGGAUGCUCAUGUGUGCUUCCCUGCUCUUUCCUCAGGAAGGUUUCCCUGUUUGGAGCAGCCGCCACAUGCCAUGGCUUCUUUCUCUGCCUUUUGCUUUGAUUAAUUGCACCUUUCAUGAUUCAUAUCGCAUAAUUGCCUUCCAAAUGGGUUAUUCCUGGGUGGUAACCUUAUGGGGGUAGGUUUGUGGGUCUCUGGAGCAUCUUAAGUAUGAUGUUGCAGUCAUAACUAAAUGAGGCAUGAUCUCUUGAUGGCACAAGACAUGCAGGGAGGGUAUACCUUGUCUCUAAAUCAGCGCUAUUCCGUAGAACUUUCUCUGCUGAAGGAAAUAUGCUGUAUCUGCACCAUCCAA